GAGAGUUGUAUGGCAUUGACGCUCAUCUGGAGGUUAGUUAACACAGUGUCCAAAGAAGGGCCAGAAGUAUACAGAAUGGUGUCGUCUGCGUAGAGGUGGAUCAGAGACUCACCAGCAGCGAGAGCGACAUCGUUGACGUACACAGAGAAGAGAGUCGGCCCGAGAGUUUGACACGUGAUCUAAUCCAAAGGAACGGAUACGUUUGGAGAGUAGACGGGCAAAAAAGGGAAAGCGAAAGAGCGCAAGAUGAGAGAACCUCGGACACACAGUGGAGAGAACUAAGGGAGUUGAAGGGAUUCAAAACCGACCCACAAUUUGAUUUUUUUUUUUGGUUUUUCGACUGAAAAGCUAAAAGGAGACUCUACAAUAACCAAGUCUCGAAGGUGAAGUGUCUACGCUUUCGAAAACGUCAAAAGGACUAUACCAACAUCCCAGAACUUCAGAGAGAGAGCAGUGUUGUGAAGAUUGGGAUCUCAAUUGGGGUCUACUAAGGAGAAGGGUCAUGUGAUCAGAUUACUUCCUGAAAUGCCACCACUAACAACGGCUGAGACGUUAACACAGGGUGCAGUAAACAAAACCUUUUUUUUUUUAGCUGGGAAGGUCCGGAGCUUGUCCUGUUGUCAGAUUUGGUCAUUCCCAGGAAGUGUGUGAACCUACACAGUAGUCUGAAAUGUUGUUGAAAGAGAUGGGCCUACAAUCAAUCAUAUAUAAGGGAUGUUUGUGUGGGCAACAAUAAACUUGUGUGAGAAACAAUACUUGUGCAUUUUUUAAAAUUUUUUUUUUUAUGUAGGAUAUAGUCAUCAUUAUUGUACUUUUGAAAUGGUUUUAGAAUGAUUUACUAAACUGUUCUCUUUUCCUGGAUGUCUAUGGUCUUGUAAGGUUUACACGUUAAAUGAGCAGACCUACAGGUGUGUACAUAUCCAGAAAGAUGUAUGGACUAAUAAAUACUAUAAAUACAGUACAAAAACAAGUCGCUCCGAUUUUACACAGAGCAGGUCAGAGUUUUUUAGUAGGGAGAUGAAUAAGAAUACAAGGUGGUCUCUGUAAACUUCCUCAAAAUAACAAAAGCACCGUGUAAAGGAAAAUUCUGAAGUGAUGUCACCCAGACCAAGGAAAACUGUACACACACACACACAACAAAAAUAAACUUUCAAAGAUGUCACCAAA